rnacentral:snRNA from 1 species
UUAAUUUUUGUGAAAUAUAGAAUGAUCAGUAGUUAAUACAAAAAAACAAAAAAACAUCUGUUCUUAUCAGUUUAAUAUCUAAUAGGUUCUCUAUCUGAGUGCCUUAUAUUAAAUUGAGUUUUGGAACAGGGAGAUGGAAUAGGGGCUUGCUCCGUCCACUCCACGCAUCGACCUGGUAUUGCAGUACUUCCAGGAGCGGUGCACUUUCU